rnacentral:rRNA from 1 species
CCUACGGGAGGCAGCAGUGAGGAAUAUUGGUCAAUGGGAGAGAUCCUGAACCAGCCAAGCCGCGUGAGGGAAGACGGCCCUAUGGGUUGUAAACCUCUUUUGUCGGAGAACAAAACCCGGGACGUGUCCCGUACUGCGUGUAGCCGAAGAAAAAGCAUCGGCUAACUCCGUGCCAGCAGCCGCGGUAAUACGGAGGAUGCGAGCGUUCUCCGGAUUUAUUGGGUUUAAAGGGUGCGUAGGCGGUCCGUUAAGUCAGCGGUAAAAUUGCGGGGCUCAACCCCGUCGAGCCGUUGAAACUGGCAGACUUGAGUUGGCGAGAAGUACGCGGAAUGCGCGGUGUAGCGGUGAAAUGCAUAGAUAUCGCGCAGAACUCCGAGUGCGAAGGCAGCGUACCGGCUCCACACUGACGCUGAGGCACGAAAGCGUGGGUAUCGAACAGGAUUAGAUACCCGAGUAGUC